GGCCAGAUAGCUCAGUCGGUAGAGCAGNNUCGGUGGUUCGAUUCCGCCUCUGGCCACCA
rnacentral:tRNA from 1 species